UGUAAGCGUAUACCAAAGUUGUUGCAGUUAAAACGAUCGUAGUCGGAAUUUGGCAGUUCCGGAUGUGUGCACGUCGUGUGCGCACUUCGCGGGGAUUGCUUUUGUGGUCUUGCGUAGGAUGAGGCACUUUUAUUAGUGAACGUCCUCACGCAACCACUUUUUACUGUGAGAAAAUCAGAGUGCUCAAAGCAGGCAUUUGCCGUGAAUGUAUUAGCAUGGAAUAAUAGAAUAGGACUUGGUUCUAUUUUGUUGGUUUGUUGGGACUGAGUAAUGAUUAAGAGGGACAGUUGGGGGCAUUUGUAUUUCGGUGCUAGAGGUGAAAUUCUUAGAUUACCGAAAGACAAACUGCUGCGAAAGCGUCUGCCAAGGAUGUUUUCAUUGA
rnacentral:rRNA from 1 species